rnacentral:rRNA from 1 species
AUGGCAAAUGGACGCCUCACAGAGAUAGCUUUGACAGAUCCUAAGAGGGCCAAGAAGAUUUUGGCAAAUCGCCAGUCUGCGGCAAGGUCAAAGGAGCGCAAGAUGAGGUACAUUCAAGAACUCGAGCAUAAGGUACAGAUCUUGCAGACAAAGACGACUACACUUUCAACACGGUUGACAAUGCUGCAGAGGGACUCUGGGAGGACUUGCGACUCAUAA